AUACGUAGGGGGCGAGCGUUAUCCGGAUUUAUUGGGCGUAAAGCGCGCGCAGGCGGUCAGGUAAGUCGGAUGUGAAAGGCUACGGCUCAACCGUAGAGCGGCAUCAGAAACUGCUUGACUUGAGUGCAGGAGAGGAGAGUGGAAUUCCCGGUGUAGCGGUGGAAUGCGUAGAGAUCGGGAGGAACACCAGUGGCGAAGGCGACUCUCUGGACUGUAACUGACGCUGAGGCGCGAAAGCGUGGGGAGCAAACAGGAUUAGAUACCCUGGUAGUCCACGCCGUAAACGAUGAGUGCUAGGUGUUGGGGGGACCCCCCUCAGUGCCGUAGGUAACCCAAUAAGCACUCCGCCUGGGGAGUACGGUCGCAAGACUGAA
rnacentral:rRNA from 1 species